UGGCUCAGAACGCACGCUGGCGGCAUGCUUAACACAUGCAAUUCGAACACUCGCCGUGUUCGCCCGGCGGGAGUGGCGCACGGAUGAGUACAGCGUGGGAACCUGCCCUGGAGUGGGGGAUAACCGAGGGAAACUUCGGGUAUAUACCGCAUGUGCCCGCGGAGUGAUCCGCGGGAGAAAGACUUAUCGCUCCGGGAGGGGCCCGCGUCCGAUUAGCUAGUUGGUGGGGUAACGGCUCACCAAGGCGAUGAUCGGUAGCUGGUCUGAGAGGAUGAUCAGCCACACUGGGACUGAGACACGGCCCAGACUCCUACGGGAGGCAGCAGUGG
rnacentral:rRNA from 1 species